ACCGGAGGCGGAUAAGAGACAGAGGAGCGGCACCGGGCUCAUCGCGGCGGAAGGGCGGUGCAAUCGCUCCUCUUACCGGAGGGAAACAUCCCCCGAGUCGACGGGAAGCACGUGAGCUAGGAAUCGAUCCUGAUGCCUUUCGGUUUAUCUCAGUUUAUUAGCUACGUUAUGGCCGUGCUGUAGCGUCGGGUUGGCUUGUACACCGGCUGGUUGCUCGGGAAGCGUACCGCGGCCCACGAGCAGCUGGGUCGCCGGCUACCGGCUUUGUCCGCACAUAAAGCCCCGGAAUGCCGGUGACCGCGAUAAGCUGAGCUGUAUCGGGCGCCUUCCUGCUGGUACCCGAUGGAGCAGAGCGGCAGCCUGUUCAUAGACCCGGACUUUGCGCCGGCCGACUGCUCCUGUUCUCUGACUGCAGCACUCCCAUCGCCAGACUACAGGGGGCGGUAGAAUGGAUGCGCCCGCAGGAAAUCUGCUCAUCGCCCAAACUCUUCCCGGAGAAUCCCAAGGAAGGUCACCCAAAGCAAGGCAUUCUGGGAGACUGCUGGUUCUUGUGUGCCUGCACCGCGCUGCUGAAGAGCAAGCACUUGAUGGACAAGUGUCGUCACUACAGGUGUUUCCUCCAGGACAGCCGCAGUGGGGCGAUCGUGACUAUAAGGGCGAGUUUCGCUUCCGCUUC